CAGCCGCCGCGGUAAAACGAAGGGUGCAAGCGUUACUCGGAAUUACUGGGCAUAAAGCGUGCGUAGGUGGUGGUUUAAGUCCGUUGUGAAAGCCCUGGGCUCAACCUGGGAAUUGCAGUGGAUACUGGGUCACUAGAGUGUGGUAGAGGAUAGUGGAAUUUCCGGUGUAGCAGUGAAAUGCGUAGAGAUCGGAAGGAACAUCUGUGGCGAAGGCGACUAUCUGGGCCAACACUGACACUGAGGCACGAAAGCGUGGGGAGCAAACAGGAUUAGAUACCCCAGUAGUCCCUGUCUCUUAUAC
rnacentral:rRNA from 1 species